rnacentral:rRNA from 1 species
CCUACGGGCGGCAGCAGUGAGGAAUAUUGGUCAAUGGGCUUACGCCUGAACCAGCCAAGUCGCGUGAGGGAAGACUGCCCUAUGGGUUGUAAACCUCUUUUGUCAGGGAGCAACGCCGGCUACGUGUAGCCGGACUGAGAGUACCUGAAGAAAAAGCAUCGGCUAACUCCGUGCCAGCAGCCGCGGUAAUACGGAGGAUGCGAGCGUUAUCCGGAUUUAUUGGGUUUAAGGGGUGCGUAGGCGGAAUGCCAAGUCAGCGGUAAAAUCGCGGGGCUCAACCUCGCUCCGCCGUUGAAACUGGCGUUCUGGAGGGGGCGAGAGGUAGGGGGAAUGGGUGGGGGAGGGGUGAAAUGCAGAGAAAUAA